GACAAACGGGUCGAGUUAAGAUUUGUUUGGUAAAAAAGGAGGUUAAUAUGUAGAUGGUUUGUAUUUGAGAAUCUAAUAUUCUUGUAGGGGUGAAAUCUGUAUAUGGGUAGUAGGGUUUAUUAUUCUCUUUUGUUGAGGCCUCGAAAGCUUAAUAUUAGACCGGGAUUAGAUACCCCGUUAUUAUAUUCUGUAAACUUUGAUUAUAUUGAUUUACUUGGGGAUUACGUGUUAUCAUGUAUAUAUUUGUAUUAUCUUGGUAGGUGGCUUAAAACUCAAAAAACUUGGCGGUGCUUCAAUUCUUUCCGGGGGAACCUGUCCUUUAAUCGAUGGUCCACGAUUUAACUUACCUCUUUUUGAAUAUAGUAUGUAAUAUUAUUAUACAGUUUGUAUACCGUCGUCGUCAGAUUACCUUUGAGAGGUAGAGAAGUUAUCUGGAGGAGUGUUCAGAUACACAUGUUUGUAUUUUGGUAUACAGAUAGUUUGUAUUUGUGAUUCUAAACGUCAGAUCAAGGUGCAGCUUAUGUAGGGGGAGAGAUGGGUUACAAUAAUUAUUUGUUAUACAGAUUUUAUUAUGUAAUUAGUAAGUUGAAGGCGGACUCGGAAGUAAUAAAUGAGUAGUGAGCUUUUAUGAAUUUUUAGUGCUGAGGUGCGU
rnacentral:rRNA from 1 species